rnacentral:rRNA from 1 species
CCGGAAUUAUUGGGCGUAAAGAGCUUGUAGAGCGGUUUGUCGCGUCUGCCGUGAAAGUCCGGGGCUCAACUCCGGAUCUGCGGUGGGUACGGGCAGACUAGAGUGAUGUAGGGGGAGACUGGAAUUCCUGGUGUAGCGGUGAAAUGCGCAGAUAUCAGGAGGAACACCGAUGGCGAAGGCAGGUCUCUGGGCAUUAACUGACGCUGAGGAGCGAAAGCAUGGGGAGCGAACAGG